rnacentral:rRNA from 1 species
AGUGAACGCUGGCGGUAGGCCUAACACAUGCAAGUCGAACGGCAGCACAGUAAGAGCUUGCUCUUACGGGUGGCGAGUGGCGGACGGGUGAGGAAUACAUCGGAAUCUACUUUUUCGGGGGGGAUAACGUAGGGCAACUUACGCUAAUACCGCAUAUGACCUACGGGUGAAAGCAGGGGAUAUUCGGACCUUUCGCGAUUGAAUGAGCCGAUGUCGGAUUAGCUAGUUGGCGGGGUAACGGCCCACCAAGGCGACGAUCCGUAGCUGGUCUGAGAGGAUGAUCAGCCACACUGGAACUGAGACACGGUCCAGACUCCUACGGGAGGCAGCAGUGGGGAAUCUUCCGCAAUGGGCGAAAGCCUGACGGAGCCAUGCCGCGUGAGUGAUGAAGGUCUUCGGGUCGUAAAACCCUUUUAUUAGGGAAGAACAACUGUGUAAGAAACUCUGCCCGUCUUGACGGUACCCAAUCAGUAAGCCACGGCUAACUACGUG